rnacentral:ncRNA from 1 species
GGGAGCUGUAUGAGUCGAGAGGCUCACGUACAGUUCUGCGAGGGGUUGGCGGGGAAGUACCGCCGGUCUACUCUCC